rnacentral:lncRNA from 1 species
AGAGAAGGCAUACACGCAGCCUAAGAGACACAGGAAACACUCGAGCGUCGCGCAGAAGAGCGAAUGCAUUGUGAUAAAUAAAAGAGUUCAGGCAACAGCAAGCCAGAAGAGUUGCAGUUGCUAUUUUCAAAGAAUCUUGGCAAUGGCUUACAAUUUGGAAUCCAUACAGAUGUGCAAUUUUCAAAGCACCAACUUAUGGAAUUGCACUUUAGAAGUAUAUACUGUACACAGCUGUUCUCUGCUCAAAAAACAAUAUCAGUAUUGUGACACCGGUGCGAAAUUCUCCUUCUU